GGUUAAUUUUCAAUUUUGUUGGGUAAAACAUAUCAACCAAACAUUUGUAUAAAAAUUGCUUGUUUGUCUUUUUUAACUCGUGUCGCUCGUAUUGUAAAAUUUACAACAAGAAAUCUGUGAGUAUAUGCUAACUUAACAUACAACAAGCGAGAAUUUUCCAUGUCUAUUUUUUACUGACAAGUCCCACAUCAAAUAUAUCAGUUCAUAGCUUUUGACCCAUACUAUCAUUUUAUGAUAGACAAUUUAUGGGGAGAAUACAACAUCAAAAAUGUCCAACCCUUACACUUAACAGCAACUAUGAAAUAUACAUGCCCCACGUCACGAAC
rnacentral:lncRNA from 1 species